ensembl:lncRNA
UGAAGGCAGCAGCAGUAAGCCUCCAGUAAGCGUUUCUGUUUUUUCCACCAUCUGGCCGGGCAGCCUGUCAGCUGAGCUCAGUGAAUUCAUCCCGCCAGCAGAGCGCGUCCCUGCGCCUCGUACAGAAAGUGGAGAUGCCUCCUACCGGAGCACAGAUCUACUCCCCGUUUUCCGUGAAACUGUGAAAAGGAAAAGCCCAGUUGUUUGUUUUUUAACAGUCAGAAAGCUCAUGCUCUGCGAGCUUCCUCCACCACCUACACAGCUCAAAUAGGACUCUCCCAGGAUGCUGUCGAACAGCCCACACGUCGGUCACAAAGUGGCAGGCUGUUUGCUUUUCCUCUCUUUCUUUCACCUUGCUGCUGGCAGCUCAGGAAAAGACACAGAGACGAGGGAACUGCUGCAAAAAUCCAGCACUGAACUAUGCCUGGUUCAAGCAGCAGCCUUUGGUCAAUUUGAGAGAAGACAGUAAAAAUGCGGAGCCAGGAUGAUUUGCACGUCAUUCACAACAAUCAGCUGGGGGACUCGCACAAUCACCAUCUGAGAGUGAUUUUCGGGAGACUGCAGAGGAGUUUGGAGCCCGCUUUCUGGACCUCUGCCUGUUCAUUCAACUGGGUCACCACAGACGCAAAAGCACACAAAAGCAACUUCAUAAUGCUCUCAUUUGGCACCUCGGCACAGAAAGGAAAUACAAACAGACAGCGAUCUGAAAAAUGGAGCUACACUAUCUGGCACUGCCAUAGUAAUUCCCUUUGUCACACCAGAAAAGCUACGCUCGCCUGCAGAGAAU